AGUGAACGCUGGCGGUAGGCCUAACACAUGCAAGUCGAACGGCAGCACAGUAAGAGCUGGCUCUUACGGGUGGCGAGUGUGGGAAGGGGGAGGAAGACAUGGGAAUCUACAGGUUCGUUGGUGAUAACGUAGGGAAAGUUACUCGAAGACCGCAUACGACGCACUUGGAAAAGCAGGGGAUCUUCUGACCUGUCGGGGUGGAAUGAGCCGAUGUCGGAUUAGCUAAGUGGCGGGUUAAAGGCGCACCAAGGCGACGAUCCGUAGCUGGUAUGAGAGGAUGAUCCAGUACCCUGGAACUGAGACACGGUACAGACUCCUACGGGAGGAAGCAGUGGAGACUAUUAGACAAUGGGCGAGAGCCUGAUCCAGCCAUAUCGCGUAGGUGCAGAAGGACUUAGGGUUGUAAAGUCAUUUUGUUGGGAAAGAAAAGCAGCACGUUAAUCCCCCGCUGUUAUGACGGUACCCAAAGAAUAAGCCCCGGCUAACUUCGUG
rnacentral:rRNA from 1 species